GACGAACGCUGGCGGCGUGCUUAACACAUGCAAGUCGAACGGGAAGGCCCUGCUUUUGUGGGGUGCUCGAGUGGCGAACGGGUGCGUAACACGUGAGUAACCUGACCUUGACUUUGGGAUAACUUCAGGAAACUGGGGCUAAUCCCGGAUAGGAGCUCCUGCUGCAUGGUGGGGGUUGGAAAGUUUCGGCGGUUGGGCAUGGACUCGCGGCUUAUCAGCUUGUUGGUGGGGUAGUGGCUUACCAAGGCUUUGACGGGUAGCCGGCCUGAGAGGGUGACCGGCCACAUUGGGACUGGGAUACGGCCCAGACGCCGACGGGAGGCAGCAGUGGGGAAUAUUGCACAAUGGGCGGAAGCCGUAUGGAGCAACGCCGCGUGCGGGAUGACGGCCUUCGGGUUGGAAACCGCUUUCGCCUGUGACGAAGCGUGAGUGACGGUAAUGGGUAAAGAAGCACCGGCUAACUACGU
rnacentral:rRNA from 1 species